UUCUUCUCUUCGUCGUGCGACACCCGCCGCGUCCACAUGGCUCUGGUCCGGCGUUACUUAUUCGUGGUCUUCCGCCAUGGACGACGACGCCUAAUACCAGUCAAUCCAAGACUACGCCCGCCCAACCGAUCUUCCAUGCAGGGCACAACCUCCUGGGAUUAAUCACAUUGCGUCUCAAGUGACGGCGGCGAGGACAUUUGGCACGCUCGAUUGCGCUGCUGUGGCGAUCCGACACCCGCGGAAAAAAGAUUUGGAACGAGAAGUGGUUGAAUUUGAUGUUUUUGAAUGAAUGCACAAAAGAAAGCAAGAUAGUGAGUUUGUUGAACAAAUCGGUGUCCGUGAAGAAAAGCUUAUCGAGAAAGGUAGGAAAACCGAAGAAAAUCUCAAGAAGAUGGUUCGCAGGAUAAUUUAAGAGGGAAGUUAUUAUGGAGUUGAAGGCUGCUGGUGCUUCAUGGAUUCAAUUUGAAGAGCCAACCCUUGUUCUGGAUCUUCAGUCCUAUCAGUUAGAGGCAUUCACAAAGGCUUACUCCGAACUAUAAUCAUCUCUGUCAGGCUUGAGUGUGCUCAUCGAGACUUUACUGAUGUCCCUGCAGAAGCAUAUAAGUUAGUUUGUUCAUAUUGGUCGACACCACAUUGCAACUUUCAGAUUAUUUUAAAAUUUCCAGGAUUGUCACUGCUUUGAAGGGUGUCUCGGGUUUUGGUUUUGACCUUGGACUUGAUCAAGACUACAAGCUUCCCUGCUGGCAAAUAUCUUUUUCCAGGAGUUGUUGAUGGAAGGAACAUUUCGGCAAAUGAUCUUGCAUCCUCUCUCAGCAUAUUUGAGACUUUUGAGGCCAUUGUUGGCAAAGAUCGACGCCCACAUGUGCUACUCUAACUUAAACGACAUCAUUCACUCCAUCAUCGACAUGGAUGCCGAUGUGAUCAUGAUUGAGAACUCUCAGUCCGACGAGCAACUCCUAUCAGUGUUCCGAGAGGGAGUCAAGUAUGGAGCUGAUACAGCUCAAUUUUCUCCUGAUAACAUUGUUCUUGUUCUUGGUUAGAAUUUUCUCCUAAUAACGUUGUUAUUGUCGAUGAGCUUGUCUUAGAAUUCUUUUUACUCUUUUUCUUGUGAUUCCUGGUGGUGUAUCGUGGGCUUUUCCUAGGCUGAGAGAACCCCAAACAUAGUAGCUCAACCUAUGAUGCCGGCUUGAUUCUUGUUUUUGAGCUCAAGUUUAGUUGCCUUUUUUGUUUUGACCAAUUUCAUGGUACCCUUUGAGAAUAUGCAAAUACCACAAUGUGAAAAUAAAAGACAACUAAAUCUUGUAAGAGGUACACUCGUCCUUGUUGAGCUGAUCUCUCUCGGA